CUAAAAGAGGAUUAGCCAAGGAAGAGUUUGACCCAGAAUCACUUUGAUAUCCAACUAGAUUUGUUGAUGGUUUAUCAUUAUUUGAUUGACGAGCAGCUAAAAAUUUAUUCCUAUUAACAGUUUCUGGUGAACUGGAGCUGCUAAUACUUUCCGAAUGAGAAACAUUGGUUACUGGAGGUGUUAAAGGUACUGUGCAAGGUUUACUAUCACUAUCUUUACUACUGGUACUGUUUGGAUUAAUGCUGAGCGAUGAAGUAGACGACAAUUCCAUUAGGGUUGAUCUGGAUCGAUCAUCCCGUUGUCCUGAACCUGAGAUCAUAUCUUCAAAAGUUGCAUACAUGUUCCACAUUUGUUUGGUAAAACAUCUCCUUGGUGACUUAAUUCCGUCUAUUACGAAGCAAUUAGUUAAAAAGAGGAAAAAAAAGUAAAUGUUUGCUUUAUUGAAAGUUGUUAAGUGAAACAACUUGAAUUACCAACAAUCCAUCGGGAAUAAAUCUUGCAUCAAGACAAGAGACACAAAAAAGAGUGAAAAUAAUAGUAAACCAAAAUGGAUGCCGAAAAAAAAGAACUGCUGAUUGACAAAAUUGCCAUGGCGUAUACAUUACAUAAUGGAUUCAGUUGGUCUGAUUGAUUAUAAUACUGUAAAAAUGGCACUUUAGGAAUAAAGAACCAAACUAAGGAGUUACCGAAGGAAACGAAAAAAAAUAUAUUUUUAAAUCAAAGGUAGAUGAUGACAAUGAGCGAGUAUAAUUACAAAGGAAAGAGGAAAGGUGGAGUAGAAAAGGUUGGCUGGUUGGAUGAAGAUGGAAAAAUGGACUUGCUGACGAAGAGAUAAAUAAUGAAAUAGAGGGAACCACAGGAAAUGGGAAUGAUGGUGAUGAGGAUCAAACGAUUAAGAUGAAAAAUGGUCAAAGCUGUUCAAUUUUUUCCCUACUCUUCUCCUUGUUUUGGCCUUUUGGGUUUAAUGUUAUAUACUUGAGUUUACAUUGUCAGAUGGAGUAAAGUCUAAGGGAAUGAGAUAAUGAUAGCAAGUUGUGAAGAUGCUCUCAAGAUGUGGUAACGGAACAAGGAAAUACCAGAAUGGAAAAGGAUUGGGAAACUGGAUAAUUUCAUGGAAGAUGGUUGAAAGAAGAAGGAGGAAAAGAAACGAAAGAAUCAAUAUCGACUGAAACCCAAGUAAACAGGAGGAAAAGUGAUGGAGAAACAAAAGGAAAGUUAUAUUGUUAUGGAAUGAUAAAGAUUGUGAAAAUCAAUGUAAUCCAGAUUGACACAAUAAUUUGUGUUUCCAUACACUUUCAUAUUCAUUAACAUCAAGUUGCUCAAGUAAUCAACAUAACUUGAGUCCAUCAAAGGAAGAUGGCAAUUUUUUUUCCUCUCUCGCUUCGUUUGACCACUUCUACCACUCUCUUUAAAUCCUCCUUGAAAGGUCAAGUAUUCACCUUUCCAGGGAAUCUAAAGGGAAACCUUUAGACUUGACCUCAACAUCUUCACGUUAUGAGCUUUUGAGGAUACAAUUAGCGGAAGAAAAUAGCGUAUUAAUGUUAAAAAAAGCAAGAUAAAGAUGAAGAUGAAAACCACAGAGAAGAAUCUGGUUUUGACGUUUAAUGGAAUCUUGAUUCAACUUUGAAAUGAAAAUUGAUGUUAGUCAUUUUCUUGUUUUCCUUUUCAUUUGUUCAGUUUUAUAUAGAAACUUAUCCUUUUCUUGGCUUAAGGAUCAAGCCAAAGUUGAUUCAAGAAAAGUCCAAACUUGAAACAUCUCACCUUUUACCUCUACAAUGAUGUUGAUGAUGAUGAAUAAGAGCCGUAUUUGUUUGUUUAUCAAUAAUAAUUGUAAGCUUGAGCAACACACAAAAAAACUAAAUUACAACUUGUAAUUUAACAACGGCCUCUUAGGUUAAGAUUGGCAAAGAAGAGGGAAAAUAUUGUUAUUAAACAGACAAAAGGUAAAUUUUGAAAAGCUAAAAAUACUAUUCAAUUAUUGUUUUGUUAAAAUGUUUUACUUCUUCCCAAUUGACAUCUAAUCAUCUUAUUUUCAUGUUUUCACUCUCAGUGUGCCUAAUAUCAUCUUUACCUAUCAUAAUAAUCAUCGCCAUCGUCAAAAACAGUAUCAUUAUGUUUACCAUUUUACCUUGUUUUGUCUAUUGAUUUUUGUUGAAGGUUUGCAGCAAGAAAAAAUAUUUGCUACCAUUUUUUUCGUCUGAUGAUUUGAUUUUACUUUAACUUGCAGAUCAUUUUGACAUUUAAUUAAGCUGUUAUAACAUUUAAUCAUUCCAAUUGACCGGUCAUUUUCAAUUUCUUGUGGAUCACUCAAAAUCAGACAUGAUUAUCAUUCCCAAAUUUAUGGUGGUAAACACGCUGUAUUAUCAUUAUGUGAUCAACAUUCAUUAUGCUUGCCUUUUCCAACAACUUGAUCAGUGAAAAUAAUAUUAAAUUAUAUUAUUGGAUUUCAUUCAA